CCUACGGGGUGCAGCAGUGGGGAAUAUUGCGCAAUGGACGAAAGUCUGACGCAGCGACGCCGCGUGAGGGAUGAAGGUUUUCGGAUCGUAAACCUCUGUCAGGAGGGAAGAAAGCGCAUGGCGCCAAUCAGCCAUGCGUUGACGGUACCUCCAAAGGAAGCGCCGGCUAACUCCGUGCCAGCAGCCGCGGUAAUACGGAGGUCGCGAGCGUUAAUCGGAAUUACUGGGCGUAAAGCGCGCGUAGGCUGUUGGGGAAGUUGGGGGUGAAAUACCACGGCGCAACAGUGGAAACGACCUUGAUACCGGGCGAAUUGAAUUCGGGAGAGGGUGGCGGAAUUCCAGGUGUAGGAGGGAAAUCCGUAGAUAUCUGGAGGAACAUCAGUGGCGAAGGCGGCCACCUGGACCGGUAUUGACGCUGAGGCGCGAAAGCGUGGGGAGCAAACAGGAUUAGAUACCCCUGUAGUC
rnacentral:rRNA from 1 species